CGGUAAUACGUAGGGGGCAAGCGUUAUUCGGAAUUAUUGGGCGUAAAGCGCGCGUAGGUGGUUUUUUAAGUCAGAUGUGAAAGCCCUCGGCUCAACCGUGGAGGGUCAUUGGAAACUGGCAAACUUGAGUGCAGAAGAGGGAAGUGGAAUUCCACGUGUAGCGGUGAAAUGCGUAGAGAUCUGGAGGAACACCCGUGGCGAAGGCGGCCUUCUGGUCCGUAACUGACACUGAGGCACGAAAGCGUGGGGAGCAAACAGGAUUAGAUACCCUGGUAGUCCACGCCGUAAACGAUGAGUACUAAGUGUUUGGGGUUUUCUCGCCCCUCAGUGUCGCAGCUAACGCAUUAAGCACUCCGCC
rnacentral:rRNA from 1 species